AACGAUGCUGUUUUCGCGCUGCGCGAAGAAGGAUCACCCGUUGCUGGGCGCCUGGGAUUGAAAUGUUGUUACAACGUUUUUGAAACUCUGGGAAUCAGCUGAGGUUAUAUUU
rnacentral:ncRNA from 1 species